UUGCGGCCCCAAGUCAGGCGAGACCACCCGCCGA
rnacentral:rRNA from 1 species